rnacentral:rRNA from 1 species
GACAGAGGAUGCAAGCGUUAUCCGGAAUGAUUGGGCGUAAAGCGUCCGCAGGUGGCAAUGUAAGUCUGCUGUCAAAGCGUCUGGCUCAACCAGAUAAAGGCAGUGGAAACUACAUAGCUAGAGUAAGGUAGGGGUAGAGGGAAUUCCUGGUGUAGCGGUGAAAUGCGUAGAGAUCAGGAAGAACACCGGUGGCGAAAGCGCUCUGCUGGACCUAAACUGACACUGAGGGACGAAAGCUAGGGGAGCGAAUGGG